UGUAAGCCAGGUUGGUUUCUAUCUUUAAUUAGUUAAUAUAUUUUAGUACGAAAGGACCAAGUAUAUAAAUAGUAUUUUAUUUUUUGAUAAAUAUUAUUAUUUUGGCAGAUUAGUGCAAUAGAUUUAGAAUCUUUAAAUGUAAUUUAUUAUUACAGAUAA
rnacentral:tRNA from 1 species